CACAAGUCCAUAGACGUGAUGUGCCUCUUCUCCCAUGAGGAGUUAUAAAGGGAUGCACUACUUGGGGACUGGACUGCAGUGUUACCUUACCCCAGAGGCACCACCUGAUGAGUUCGUCUGUGUCCUGCAGUGGGGCUGGUGGAGCCAGGCUGUGCCUGCCAUGGGUCAGCUCCUCAUCUCUUUGCUCACACUCAUCCCUGUGGUCCUGCCUCUGCCAACAGCUUGCUGUGGACACUCAACACAACUUUGAGGGCAUUAACUUCUGGGAAUAAACUGCUCUUGGCUGUAAAAAAGAACCCUGAGCUCAUGUGUUCAUGAAAUGGAUUGAGUUCAUUGUGGCACUGAUUUACUGUAACUAGAUGCAAGAUUGAUGCAUCCAGGAGAAACCAUUCCACGUAUCUCAUCUGUCUCUGGAACUGCCCCUUUAAUCUCUCUACUAGAUUUGAUUGUUCUCUAACAAACCAGCAAAUACCUCUACAGCAGGAGAGGAAAGCCACAGAAGACAGGAAAAAUGGAGUUGAAGAUAAAAGGCCAUGCUGUAUCCUCUUGCUGUGGUCCUGAUGCUCUGUUUCUCUGUCCCCCUCCAUGUGAUGUGAAGACUGACUUAUGGUGGGGCUUUUGCUGAGGCACAGAUUUGGGCCUAGGAGGCCUCAUAAAAUAAAAAAAUUAUGCAGCACAAUUAGAAAGUUGAUGCCAAAUAGAGCUCUGCAGAGGAUCAUGAAGUGAUUCCUCACCAAAGUGAACUAAAUCAGAAGUAACUGCAUUAAAACAGGCAGAUUAAAACCUGUUUGGAGAUCAGAAAUAGGCCCUGUGUGGGAAAACACAAAGCACUUUAGAUAAUUGUGUGGAGAGCAGGGAGCAGAAAGAAAGUAAUAUCCUACCUGACAGGAAUCUUGAUAACCUGGAAAACUAGGGGAAAGCCGAGGAUGUAAACAUCCUGUCUUGAAAAAACAAAAAACUCCCCAGACAAUCUCUUGACAUUUUAGGAAGACUUGAUCUUCUAAUGAAAUAAAUACUAAAGAAGACCUAACAUAUCUGAAUAGUGCUUGUGAAGGUUCCCCAGGGAAGGAAGAGCAUGUGUAAGAGCAAUCCUCCUUUGGUGCUGUGGAGGAAGGGACUACAGGCUUGGAAAGCCAACCUGGAGGAAUCAGAAGAACAAUGACAACUUUUUAUUUCAUCCUGUGAAGUCAGUGGCCUGGACUUAUCUCUGUUGAUCAGAGAAUGGUUCUAAUAACACCAAGGCUGUGGGUUUGAUCCAAUGUGGUUCAAUGUGGAUUUCUUGGCUUUCUGAACCCUACCUAACCCUAAGCGUAACACUGGCCCUUGGUUGUGGAGAGCUAGGCUGCAAGAAUAGUGCAUCUUUCCCAAUGAAUUGCAGCUGUACUGAUUACCAAGGAGUGGGAACAUCUGUGUCUGGCCAAUCAGUUUGGGGGAUAUAAAGGAGUGGGUUAGCUGGACAGUAGUUACAGACACCUGCAGUUGGAGUUUGAGAGUUGGAGUAAGAGCAGAGGCUGCUGGCUGUGCUGCAAGGAGGUAAGGGACUGAUAAGGUGUUGUGUGAGGGACAGUCAGGGCUAGGCAAGGAGCAGC